CAGUCAGUACAGACUGAUGGUGUUAUCACUGAUUUCUGUCAGUCAGUACAGCCAGAGCCAUCCCUGCGCAGUGUCAGUCGGUACAGACUGAUGCUGGUGUUCUCACUGACUUCUGUCAGUCAGUACAGCCAGAAUCAUCCCUGCGCAGUGUCAGUCGGUACAGACUGACAUUGGUGUUCUCAUUGACUUCUGUCAGUCGGUACAGCCAGAAUCAGCCCUGCGCUGUGUUACGACACUACAGCCUGACGUCGUCCCUGCGCUGUGUCAGUCGGUACAGAGUGAUGCUGGUGUUCUCAUUGACUUCUGUCAGUCGGUACAGCCUGACGUUGGUGUUCUCACUGAGUUCUGUCAGUCAGUACAGCCAGAAUCACC
rnacentral:lncRNA from 1 species